GGGGGGUGUGUGUGUAUUAUAUAUAUAGAAGAUUAUAUAUAUAUAUUUAGCGUGUCAAUCUUGUUAUGCCUUAUAGAAUGCUACGUUACUAGGCGGCAAAUCCUUGAUAUCUUAGGCAUUCUAUUAAAAGAGGGUUGGUGGUCUUAUCUUGAAGUGCUUCUAUCUGGAGCUAGAUAGAAUUGGUGUGGAUUCAAUCCCCUGUUUGGUCGGACCCACAAAAGACUUGACUAUUGAAAAAAGAAAU
rnacentral:lncRNA from 1 species